ACGAACGCUGGCGGCGUGCUUAACACAUGCAAGUCGAGCGGUAAGGCCCUUUCGGGGGUACACGAGCGGCGAACGGGUGAGUAACACGUGGGUGACCUGCCCUCAGCUCUGGGAUAAGCCUGGGAAACCGGGUCUAAUACUGGAUAUGACUCCAUGACGCAUGUUGUGGGUGGAAAGCCUUGUGCGGCUGAGGAUGGGCCCGCGGCCUAUCAGCUUGUUGGUGGGGUGAUGGCCUACCAAGGCGACGACGGGUAGCCGGCCUGAGAGGGCGACCGGCCACACUGGGACUGAGACACGGCCCAGACUCCUACGGGAGGCAGCAGUGGGGAAUCUUGCGCAAUGGGCGAAAGCCUGACGCAGCGACGCCGCGUGAGGGAUGACGGCCU
rnacentral:rRNA from 1 species